rnacentral:misc_RNA from 1 species
CUGUGUUGUUUUCAACGCAGAGAUUGUCCAGGCGCCGGAUCUGAGACAGUACUUAUCACAUCGGUACGACUGGGUCUCAGCCGGUCAGCUCAUGGGUGGAACAUUGACAUUGGUGCGGAGCCGAACGGCUCGAACUUAGUACGCCUGCUUGCAGGAAGGAACAGUUCGGACCGGGGAGCCUCGCACAUGCACGCUGUUGGGUCCUGAGGGACCGGACCUCAUCGCUGUGUCUUCAAGACGCUGAGAUGAGAACCGAAUCCUCUGGACCUUUUUUGGUCGGCCAUAACUGGGCCGGCGGAAAAGGUACCGCCCGUACUUUGAGAACUACACAGUGGACGCGAGCAUCUUAGAUUCGGACCUUCGGGUUCGGAUCACAAAAGAUGAUCAUAGUACUUUCGAGUACUGAUUAGAUCAUUGGUCAAUCUGCUCACUUCGG